UCUAUUCAUAGAAAUAUUUUUUUCAUUAGUUUAGCUUUCAUCCUAGUGGUAUUGCUAUUUGCAUAUAUAUGUUCAGAGCUUUUAGGAAUCAUGUGGCUCUUAGGACAUACAAAUAACACAGAUCUUCCAUUGUCUCAAGGAAGAAGUUAUACUGUGGGACUUAGAAAAAUACAAUCAUCUGUGCCAGGAAGAUGGCUCAGUAGAUAAAGCAAAAUGCAAGUGGGAAGACCUGCAUUUGGAUCUCUAGAACCCAUGCAGAUGCUGGAUCAGCGGGAGUGCCUGCCUGUAAUUUCAGUGCUCAAGGCAGACAAAGAGUCCCCAGAACAAGCUGGCUACCUUGAUGAAAUAUAUAGGUGAACUCUGGUUUCAUCCGAUAGAUGCUACCUCGGUGAAUAAGUGUUUCAGUUUUGCUGUUCCUUAAAUAUCCUUGACAUCAUCAAUCCUUUGCUUGAUCUGUAUGUGGAAAAGAAGUAUUUCCUGACUCAUCACUCAGCUGCUGAUGUCAACAAGGGCAUAAGCUCAUGGUGGCAACCAUCUCACCCGGGCCAUACAUGAAGGACAGAAACAGUGUGCUCACAGAAGAAACACUACAUGUACACACAGUGCUUUAGUCAAACACUUGGGAAGUGGAUGGCUUACACACACAACCCCAUGUGCAACUUGUCAUGCACUGGCAGUCACACUCAAAAAGGGAUCCUCUGCAGGUGAACCACUUCAGAGAAGAUAUAGCUGCUGGUAAAUGGCUUUGGUUUCCAGACACAAUUUUCCAACUUCACAUUCACAGAUAAACAAAACAGAAGUGAUGGUUUGUAUAUGCUUGGCCCAGGGAGUGACACUAUUAGGAGGUGUUGGAGUAUGUGUGUCACUGUGGGUGUGGGCUUAAGACCUUCACCCUAGCUGCCUGGAAGUCAGUAUUCUGCUAGAAGCUUUCAGAUGAAGAUGUAGAACUUUCAGCUCCUCCUGCACGAUGCCAGCCAGAAUCCCAACAUGUUCCACCUUGAUGAUAAUGGACUGAACCUCUGAACCUGUAAGCCAGCCCCAAUUAAAUGUUGUCCUUAUAAGAGUUGUCUUGGUCAUGGUGUCUGUUCACAGCAGUAAAACCCUAACUAAGACAGAG
rnacentral:lncRNA from 1 species